rnacentral:pre_miRNA from 1 species
AUCAUACUCCCUCCAUCGAGAAAUACUUGUCAUAGAAAUGAAUGUACCUAGAUGUGUUUUAGUUCUAGGUACAUUCAUUUUUUUCAAUUUGGGCGACAAGUAAUUCCGGACGGAGGAAGUAAUAA